rnacentral:rRNA from 1 species
CCUACGGGUGGCAGCAGUGAGGAAUAUUGGUCAAUGGGCGGAAGCCUGAACCAGCCAAGUAGCGUGCAGGAUGACGGCCCUACGGGUUGUAAACUUCUUUUAUACGGGAAUAACGCCCCUUACGCGUAGGCCUUUGCGUGUACCGUAUGAAUAAGGACCGGCUAACUCCGUGCCAGCAGCCGCGGUAAUACGGAGGGUGCAAGCGUUACCCGGAAUUACUGGGGGUAAAGGGUGCGCAGGCGGGCUUGUAAGGCAGAUGUGAAAUCCUGGGGCUUAACUACAGACCUGCAUUUGAAACUAGGAGUCUAGAGUGGGGGAGAGGUAGGUGGAAUGCUUGGUGUAGGGGUAAAAUGCGUAGAUAUCAAGAAGAAUACUCAUUGCGAAGGCGGCCUACUGGAACAUUACUGACGCUCAUGCACGAAAGCGUGGGUAGCAAACAGGAUUAGAUACCCGAGUAGUC